GAUGAAGAACGCAGCGAAAUGCGAUACGUAAUGUGAAUUGCAGAUUUCAGUGAAUCAUCGAAUCUUUGAACGCACAUUGCGCCCGCCAGUAUUCUGGCGGGCAUGCCUGUUCGAGCGUCAUUUCAACCAUCAAGCCUUUGCUUGCGUUGGGGCCCCGCGGCUGCCGCGGCCCCCUAAAUCCAGUGGCGGGCUCGUCGUCGUACCGAGCGCAGUAAACAUCCUCGCUCCGGGAACCCGACGGGUGCCGGCCGUGAAACCCCCCACAUCAAGGUUGACCUCGGAUCAGGUAGGAAUACCCGCUGAACUUAAGCAUAUCAAUAAGCGGAGGA
rnacentral:misc_RNA from 1 species